CCAAUAGCGUAUAUUAAAGUUGUUGCAGUUAAAAAGCUCGUAGUUGAAUUUCGGGGUCAGUAGGUUGGUCGUGCCACUGGUAUGCACUGGUCUCACUGAUUCCUCCCUCUUGUAGAACCGUAAUGCCAUUAAGUUGGUGUUGCGGGGAAACAGGACUGUUACUUUGAAAAAAUUAGAGUGUUUAAAGCAAGCUAACGCUUGAAUACAUUAGCAUGGAAUAAUGAAAUAGGACGUUCGACCCUAUUUUGUUGGUUUCUAGGAUUGACGUAAUGAUUAAUAGGGAUAGUUGGGGGCAUUAGUAUUCAAUUGUCAGAGGUGAAAUUCUUGGAUUUAUUGAAGACUAACUACUGCGAAAGCAUUUGCCAAGGAUGUUUUCAUUAAUCAAGAACGAAAGUUAGGGGAUCGAAGACGAUCAGAUACCGUCGUAGUCUUAACCAUAAACUAUGCCGACUAGGGAUCGGAUGAUGUUAAUUUUAUAAUGACUCAUUCGGCGCCUUACG
rnacentral:rRNA from 1 species